AGAGUUUGAUCCUGGCUCAGAUUGAACGCUGGCGGCAUGCCUUACACAUGCAAGUCGAACGGUAACGCGGGGGCAACCCUGGCGACGAGUGGCGAACGGGUGAGUAAUACAUCGGAACAUAUCCAGUAGCGGGGGAUAACCUAUCGAAAGAUGGACUAAUACCGCAUACGAUCUACGGAUGAAAGCAGGGGACCGCAAGGCCUUGCACUAUUGGAGCGGCCGAUGUCGGAUUAGCUAGUUGGUGGGGUAAAAGCCUACCAAGGCGACGAUCCGUAGCUGGUCUGAGAGGACGAUCAGCCACACUGGAACUGAGACACGGUCCAGACUCCUACGGGAGGCAGCAGUGGGGAAUUUUGGACAAAGGGCGCAAGCCUGAUCCAGCCAUGCCGCGUGAGUGAAGAAGGCCUUCGGGUUGUAAAGCUCUUUCGGUGAAGACGAAACGGUUCAUGCUAAUAACGUGAACUAAUGACGGUACUCACAUAAGAAGCACCGGCUAACUACGUGCCAGCAGCCGCGGUAAUACGUAGGGUGCAGGCGUUAAUCGGAAUUACUGGGCGUAAAGCGUGCGCAGGCGGUUUGCUAAGACAGGUGUGAAAUCCCCGGGCUUAACCUGGGAAUUGCGCUUGUAACUGGCAAGCUAGAGUGUGGCAGAGGGGGGUGGAAUUCCACGUGUAGCAGUGAAAUGCGUAGAUAUGUGGAGGAACACCGAUGGCGAAGGCAGCCCCCUGGGUUAACACUGACGCUCAUGCACGAAAGCGUGGGGAGCAAACAGGAUUAGAUACCCUGGUAGUCCACGCCCUAAACUAUGUCAACUAGUUGUCGGGGAAGAAAUUCCUUGGUAACGAAGCUAACGCGUGAAGUUGACCGCCUGGGGAGUACGGCCGCAAGGUUAAAACUCAAAGGAAUUGACGGGGACCCGCACAAGCGGUGGAUUAUGUGGAUUAAUUCGAUGCAACGCGAAAAACCUUACCUACCCUUGACAUGCUAGGAAGCCCGCAGAGAUGUGGGUAUGCCCGAAAGGGAACCUAGACACAGGUGUUGCAUGGCUGUCGUCAGCUCGUGUCGUGAGAUGUUGGGUUAAGUCCCGCAACGAGCGCAACCCUUGCCAUUAGUUGCUACAUUCAGUUGGGCACUCCAAUGGGACCGCCGGUGACAAACCGGAGGAAGGUGGGGAUGACGUCAAGUCCUCAUGGCCCUUAUGGGUAGGGCUUCACACGUAAUACAAUGGUCGGUACAGAGGGCUGCCAACCCGCAAGGGGGGAGCUAAUCCCAGAAAGCCGAUCGUAGUCCGGAUUGUAGUCUGCAACUCGACUGCAUGAAGCCGGAAUCGCUAGUAAUCGCGGAUCAGCAUGUCGCGGUGAAUACGUUCCCGGGUCUUGUACACACCGCCCGUCACACCAUGGGAGUGGGUUCCACCAGAAGUAGUUAGCCUAACCGCAAGGAGGGCGAUUACCACGGUGAGAUUCAUGACUGGGAUGAAGUCGUAACAAGGUA
rnacentral:rRNA from 1 species